CUGCUAUUCUGCUUCAUGUUCAUUGCAUUUCCUAGAUUCUUUCCAAGUCAGAGUCAGAAGCCGGUAACAUGAGAGGGCACUGGAAAACAUCUAGGAAAUAAGGAUGCAGUUGGAUGUCUCUUCUGUAGCCUUGAUCUACAUUUCCUGAGGAGAAGAGAGUCAGGAUAGUCUGUGUAAACUCAUAUUUCCCCUUCCACAGUUUCUCUUUACGCAACCCCUUGGGCCACAGGCUUUCUUGCUCUGCAUGGAAAGAAACCAGAGAUGAAGAAGCCAACAAUUACUGAAACUGUCCCUGUCCAAGAAAAAGAUAAUAAGACUGAAGAAGUGGACUGAUGACCAUUAGUCUCAUGAGAAGUGAGAAAUCAAUAAGCAAUAGAUGAUAGAAUACUAAUUAAUAAAGGGAACCACAUAACCUGUAAGCCAAUGAACACCAAUUCC